AAAAGUUUUGGAAUUAAGUUUUCAACAGCAAUUUCACUACAUUAAUCUGGUCAAAGUAAUACAUUAAUAACUUAUUAAAACUCUCCUAAAAUUCUCAUACUGAACAACUACAUAUUCCUCAUAAGUCAUAAUAUUUCAUUCCUCUUCCAGUUAGUUUUCUUCUUCACGAGUCGGCGGCGGCGACAGCAACUGCAGGAGCUUCUGGUAAUGAAAAGAUCUUCACAGGUGAAGUUUGGGUUUUGAGUGGGAUGUGUGAAGAACCAAGUAACUCCUUCUCCUUCUGAAUCCCAGCACCUACGAUUUCAAGAACUUUUCGAACUUCAUUUGCAAGUUCUAUGAUGUAAUCAUCUUCGUGAUCAAUGUCGUAUAGAGCCUUCUCCAUUUUGAAUAUGUAUUCUCUGUUGUUUCCACAGGGACCAUGAGCAGUCGCAAUUUGCCAGGCCAUCUCUUCCAACGGGGCAGGCCCUAGAUAGUACUUAUUAUUCACUUUGUCAGGAGUGGAUGUAAACACUAUUACUCCCGUUAAAGCUGGCUGAGGAGAGUCUUCAUCCGUGUAGAAGUCUACUAAGGUCUUGCUGUCGUACUCACACUCUCUUCUUUCAAGAUACUCCAUUGCCUUCUUUUCCUUUUCAGGUCCUCCUCGCACACAAUAAACAGCACCCCAACAAAUAGCUCCUUUGCUUUCUUCCAAUGUGCAAGUUCUUGCAGGGUGUUCUGGUGUACCUCUAUGAUCAAUGCAAGCAAGAUCAAAU
rnacentral:misc_RNA from 1 species